CGCGAAUAGCUCAUUACAACAGCCAUUGUUUACUUGAUCUUGAUAUCCUACUUGGAUAACUGUGGUAAUUCUAGAGCUAAUACACGCACCAAAGCUCAGACCUUACGGGACGAGCGCAUUUAUUAGAACAAAACCAAUCGGGCUUCGGCUCGCCUUUGGUGACUCUGAAUAACUCAGCUGAUCGCAUGGUCUUGUACCGGCGACUCAUCUUUCAAGUGUCUGCCUUAUCAACUUUCGAUGGUAGAUUAUGUGUCUACCAUGGUUGUAACGGGUAACGGAGAAUAAGGGUUCGACUCCGGAGAGGGAGCCUGAGAAACGGCUACCACAUCCAAGGAAGGCAGCAGGCGCGUAAAUUACCCAAUCUCAGCACGAGGAGGUAGUGACGAAAAAUAACGAGACCGUUCUCUAUGAGGCCGGUUAUCGGAAUGGGUACAAUUUAAA
rnacentral:rRNA from 1 species